rnacentral:rRNA from 1 species
UACAGAGGGUGCGAGCGUUAAUCGGAAUUACUGGGCGUAAAGCGCACGUAGUCGGCUUUGCAAGUCGGGUGUGAAAUCCCGAGGCUCAACCUCGGAACUGCCUUUGAUACUGGGGAUCUCGAGUCCGGGAGAGGUGAGUGGAACUGCGAGUGUAGAGGUGAAAUUCGUAGAUAUUCGCAAGAACACCAGUGGCGAAGGCGGCU